rnacentral:rRNA from 1 species
UACGUGAGGGUGCAAGCGUUGUCCGGAAUUAUUGGGCGUAAAGGAGCUCGUAGGCGGUUUGUCGCGUCUGCUGUGAAAACUCAGGGCUUAACCCUGAGCCUGCAGUGGGUACGGGCAGACUAGAGUGUGGUAGGGGAGAUCGGAAUUCCUGGUGUAGCGGUGGAAUGCGCAGAUAUCAGGAGGAACACCGGUGGCGAAGGCGGAUCUCUGG